rnacentral:rRNA from 1 species
GUGGAUUAGAUACCCUGGUAGUCCACGCCGUAAACGAUGGAAGCUAGCCGUUGGCGGGUUUACUCGUCAGUGGCGCAGCUAACGCAUUAAGCUUCCCGCCUGGGGAGUACGGUCGCAAGAUUAAAACUCAAAGGAAUUGACGGGGGCCCGCACAAGCGGUGGAGCAUGUGGUUCAAUUCGAAGCAACGCGAAGAACCUUACCAACCUUUGACAUGCCUCGUAUGGUCGCUAGAGAUAGCUUCCUUCCCGCAAGGGGCGAGAGCACAGGUGCUGCACGGUUGUCGACAGCU